rnacentral:lncRNA from 1 species
UAUGCUCUGGAUGUGUUAGUGUCGAUCAAACAAUAAAAAUGAAAAAGUGGUCAAAAUUUGGGGUACGACAGCUGCCCCUAUUUAAUCAGCUUCAAACUGAGAGGAUGAUGACGUUGAGUCUUCAUCUUCUCAUGGUGGAAGAUUAUUAAAUAUAGAGAGAGACCCGAAUUUUGACCAUGUUGUCAGUAGAUUAUGGGAAAACACAAUGAUUGAACUAUCCUUGAUGCUCU